AUUGAACGCUGGCGGCAGGCCUAACACAUGCAAGUCGAACGAGUGGCGGACGGGUGAGUAAUGUCUGGGAAACUGCCUGAGGGAGGGGGAUAACUACUGGAAACGGUAGCUAAUACCUCAUGCCCUCGGAUGUGCCCAGAUGGGAUUAGCUAGUAGGUGGGGUAAGGGCUCACCUAGGCGACGAUCCCUAGCUGGUUGGAGAGGAUGACCAGCCACACUGGAACGGAGACACGGUCCAGACUCCUACGUGAGGCAGCAGUGGGGAAUAUUGCACAAUGGGCGCAAGCCUGAUGCAGCCAUGCCGCGUGUAUGAAGAAGGCCUUCGGGUUGUAAAGUACUUUCAGCUGGGAGGCGUUACCCGCAGAAGAAGCACCGGCUAACUCCGUGCCAGCAGCCGCGGUAAUAC
rnacentral:rRNA from 1 species